UACAGAGGUCCCAAGCGUUGUUCGGAUUCACUGGGCGUAAAGGGUGCGUAGGUGGCAGGGUAAGUUUGAUGUGAAAUCUCCGAGCUUAACUCGGAAACUGCAUUGAAUACUAUCCUGCUCGAGGGUUGGAAGGGGGACUGGAAUUCUCGGUGGAGCAGUGAAAUGCGUAGAUAUCGAGAGGAACACCAGUGGCGAAGGCGAGUCCCUGGACAACACCUGACACUGAGGCACGAAAGCUAGGGGAGCAAACAGG
rnacentral:rRNA from 1 species